CUGUAGUCGAAAAUGUUGUCUCUCUUGAGUGGAUCCUGAGUACGACGGAACACGUGAAAUUCCGUCGGAAUCUGGGAGGACCAUCUCCUAAGGCUAAAUACUCUCUAGUGACCGAUAGUGAACCAGUACCGUGAGGGAAAGGUGAAAAGCACCCCGGAAGGGGAGUGAAAUAGAACCUGAAACCGUGUGCUUACAAGUAGUCAGAGCCCGUUAAUGGGUGAUGGCGUGCCUUUUGUAGAAUGAACCGGCGAGUUACGAUUUGAUGCAAGGUUAAGCAGUAAAUGUGGAGCCGUAGCGAAAGCGAGUCUGAAUAGGGCGUUUAGUAUUUGGUCGUAGACCCGAAACCAGGUGAUCUACCCUUGGUCAGGUUGAAGUUCAGGUAACACUGAAUGGAGGACCGAACCGACUUACGUUGAAAAGUGAGCGGAUGAACUGAGGGUAGCGGAGAAAUUCCAAUCGAACCUGGAGAUAGCUGGUUCUCUCCGAAAUAGCUUUAGGGCUAGCCUCAAGUGAUGAUUAUUGGAGGUAGAGCACUGUUUGGACGAGGGGCCCCUCUCGGGUUACCGAAUUCAGACAAACUCCGAAUGCCAAUUAAUUUAACUUGGGAGUCAGAACAUGGGUGAUAAGGUCCGUGUUCGAAAGGGAAACAGCCCAGACCACCAGCUAAGGUCCCAAAAUAUAUGUUAAGUGGAAAAGGAUGUGGCGUUGCCCAGACAACUAGGAUGUUGGCUUAGAAGCAGCCAUCAUUUAAAGAGUGCGUAAUAGCUCACUAGUCGAGUGACACUGCGCCGAAAAUGUACCGGGGCUAAACAUAUUACCGAAGCUGUGGAUUGUCCUUUGGACAAUGGUAGGAGAGCGUUCUAAGGGCGUUGAAGCAUGAUCGUAAGGACAUGUGGAGCGCUUAGAAGUGAGAAUGCCGGUGUGAGUAGCGAAAGACGGGUGAGAAUCCCGUCCACCGAUUGACUAAGGUUUCCAGAGGAAGGCUCGUCCGCUCUGGGUUAGUCGGGUCCUAAGCUGAGGCCGACAGGCGUAGGCGAUGGAUAACAGGUUGAUAUUCCUGUACCACCUAUAAUCGUUUUAAUCGAUGGGGGGACGCAGUAGGAUAGGCGAAGCGUGCGAUUGGAUUGCACGUCUAAGCAGUAAGGCUGAGUAUUAGGCAAAUCCGGUACUCGUUAAGGCUGAGCUGUGAUGGGGAGAAGACAUUGAGUCUUCGAGUCGUUGAUUUCACACUGCCGAGAAAAGCCUCUAGAUAGAAAAUAGGUGCCCGUACCGCAAACCGACACAGGUAGUCAAGAUGAGAAUUCUAAGGUGAGCGAGCGAACUCUCGUUAAGGAACUCGGCAAAAUGACCCCGUAACUUCGGGAGAAGGGGUGCUCUUUAGGGUUAACGCCCAGAAGAGCCGCAGUGAAUAGGCCCAAGCGACUGUUUAUCAAAAACACAGGUCUCUGCUAAACCGUAAGGUGAUGUAUAGGGGCUGACGCCUGCCCGGUGCUGGAAGGUUAAGAGGAGUGGUUAGCUUCUGCGAAGCUACGAAUCGAAGCCCCAGUAAACGGCGGCCGUAACUAUAACGGUCCUAAGGUAGCGAAAUUCCUUGUCGGGUAAGUUCCGACCCGCACGAAAGGCGUAACGAUUUGGGCACUGUCUCAACGAGAGACUCGGUGAAAUCAUAGUACCUGUGAAGAUGCAGGUUACCCGCGACAGGACGGAAAGACCCCGUGGAGCUUUACUGUAGCCUGAUAUUGAAAUUCGGCACAGCUUGUACAGGAUAGGUAGGAGCCUUUGAAACGUGAGCGCUAGCUUACGUGGAGGCGCUGGUGGGAUACUACCCUAGCUGUGUUGGCUUUCUAACCCGCACCACUUAUCGUGGUGGGAGACAGUGUCAGGCGGGCAGUUUGACUGGGGCGGUCGCCUCCUAAAAGGUAACGGAGGCGCUCAAAGGUUCCCUCAGAAUGGUUGGAAAUCAUUCAUAGAGUGUAAAGGCAUAAGGGAGCUUGACUGCGAGACCUACAAGUCGAGCAGGGUCGAAAGACGGACUUAGUGAUCCGGUGGUUCCGCAUGGAAGGGCCAUCGCUCAACGGAUAAAAGCUACCCCGGGGAUAACAGGCUUAUCUCCCCCAAGAGUUCACAUCGACGGGGAGGUUUGGCACCUCGAUGUCGGCUCAUCGCAUCCUGGGGCUGUAGUCGGUCCCAAGGGUUGGGCUGUUCGCCCAUUAAAGCGGUACGCGAGCUGGGUUCAGAACGUCGUGAGACAGUUCGGUCCCUAUCCGUCGUGGGCGUAGGAAAUUUGAGAGGAGCUGUCCUUAGUACGAGAGGACCGGGAUGGACAUACCUCUGGUGUACCAGUUGUCGUGCCAACGGCAUAGCUGGGUAGCUAUGUGUGGACGGGAUAAGUGCUGAAAGCAUCUAAGCAUGAAGCCCCCCUCAAGAUGAGAUUUCCCAACUUCGGUUAUAAGAUCCCUCAAAGAUGAUGAGGUUAAUAGGUUCGAGGUGGAAGCAUGGUGACAUGUGGAGCUGACGAAUACUAAUCGAUCGAAGACUUAAUCAA
rnacentral:rRNA from 2 species